CCAGGACCUUUGAACAGCUCAAGUAUCAGAAAAGAAUGGGACAACAUUCUCCUCUAAAAGGUUCAACCACUUGUCUCAUCACUAGAUGUUUCCAGACUGUUGUUGAAAUAAACAAGGAUACCUCUCAGUGUUAAACAUGGCCCAGGGUUUGUUGCCCCUUUUCCAUCAAGGAUUGUUCUACAAUUGUUCCUGUGUUUUUAGAAACACUUUUUCUCAGACUGGUCAGUCUCUGCCCAUCUUAACUUCUGACAGAUUCAGCCGUUUUAAAAUAUUUUUUUUUCUAUCAUCUUAUCGAACUGUUGGCAAUUAACCUAUUUUAUUGAAAAAUACAGCUGUUUUUUAUUAGAACCACUUACUUUUACAACCUUUUGUUGCAAAUUCAGAACCUUUUUAUUCUGUUACCGUUUUUUAAAGAAAAAGAUACAAUUUCUUAGUUCAAGCAUUUGAUGUUUACUUUGUUCCAUUGUAAAUAAAAUGUAUGGGUUUAUGAGAUGUAUAAAAUAUUGCAAUCUGUUGUUUGUUUUUCACAACUUUUUCAGAAAUGAUGUUGAAAUAUACUUUUUCAUGUGUCUAAAGUUUAAACAUUCCUGAUCUGAAUGAUGCAGAUGGUAAGAGGAGCCAGUGAAAACCAACACUGCUGCUUUUCAGGCUUACGCCUGUUAUAGUUUUAGGUCUAGUUUUAGUUUUGUUUUUGUUUUUAUCUCAUGUCAUGUGUUUUUAGCAGCUCUUUUCCUCAGCCUUGUCACAGCCCUGCUCCCUCUCCCUUCACAGAUCCUCAGGUAAUCAGCUCAUGCAACUCACCUGUGUCCCUCUGUAUUUAAGCCAGCAGUUUCCCUCAGCACUCUGCCAGUUUAUCAUCAGCCAGUCUAUGGCUCACCAGCAUUCUUGUCCCAUGUCCUGUUCUGAUCUCGGCUCCUCGACCCCCUUCUCGUCCCUUGGAUUACCACCUCUUGCCUCAGCCCGUGUCGGAUACCUUCUGCCAUCUGCUCUUCUGGUAAUGACCCUGUUUCUGUUUCUCGGACUCCUGCCCCUCUUCUCUCCCUUGCUCGGCACCACGACACCUCAGACUUCUUGGUUCUCGACCCCUGCCUGCCUCCCGGAUUCAAGAGUUACGUUUGCUCCUCUUAACCUGUCGUAUUCUCUGAUCCCUCUGUGUAUGACCCUCGUCUGUCCCUGGACCCCGGACCCGUUUCUCGAACCCGCAACGCUCCCAAAGAUUGUUGGUGACGUCAUCCGUGUUUCUCUGGAACCAAACUGGCACAGUUGGUGUUUCCACACGGAGGCUCUCAGUUGACACCAGAAAACCGGACCCACGCACCUGGGUUGUUCCAGCUCCACACCAGCAAUUUUAAUAAAAUUUGUAAACCUUUA